rnacentral:rRNA from 1 species
AGUCGAGGGGUAACGGGGAAGCUUGCUUCCGCCGACGACCGGCGCACGGGUGCGGAACGCGUAUGGAACCUGCCCCUGUCAGGGGAAUAGCCCAGAGAAAUUUGGAUUAAUGCCCCAUGGUAUCCAUUUACCACAUGGUAUAUGGAUUAAAGAUUUAUCGGACAGGGAUGGCCAUGCGUACCAUUAGUCAGAUGGUGGGGUAACGGCUCACCAUAACUACGAUGGUUAGGGGCCCUGAGAGGGGGAUCCCCCACACUGGUACUGAGACACGGACCAGACUCCUACGGGAGGCAGCAGUGAGGAAUAUUGGACAAUGGGCGGGAGCCUGAUCCAGCCAUGCCGCGUGCAGGAUGACUGCCCUAUGGGUUGUAAACUGCUUUUAUACGGGAAGAAACCCGCCUACGUGUAGGCGGCUGACGGUACCGUAAGAAUAAGGACCGGCUAACUCCGUGCCAGCAGCCGCGGUAAUACGGAGGGUCCGAGCGUUAUCCGGAAUCAUUGGGUUUAAAGGGUCCGUAGGCGGGCCAUUA